AGUGAACGCUGGCGGUAGGCCUAACACAUGCAAGUCGAACGGCCGCACAGUAAGGCGUUGCUCGUACGGGUGGCGAGUGGCGGAGUGGUCUUGAAUACAUCGGAAUCUACUUUUACGUGGGUGAAUACGUAGGGAAACUUACGCUGAUACCGCAUAUCACCUACGGGUGAAAGCAGGGGAGCUUCGCACCUUGCGCGAGUGAAUGAGCCGAUGUCCGACUAGCUAGUUGUGGGGGUAAAGGCCCACCAACGCGAUGAUCCGUAGCUGGUCUGAGAGGGUGAACCGACAGACUGGAACAGAGACACGGUACAGACUCCUACGCGAGGCAGCAGUGGGGAAUCUUGGACAAUGGGCGAGAGCCUGAUACAGCAAUACCGCGUGGGUGAAGAACGACUUAGGGUUGUAAAGCCCUUAUGUUGGGAGAGAAAAGCAGCAGGUUCACACCCCGAUGUUAUGACGGUACCCAAAGAAUAAGCACCGGCUAACUUCGUG
rnacentral:rRNA from 1 species